AUGGGGCUCCGGGCGGCCGUGACCCUGCUGGAGUCCGGGGGGGACCUCCAGCCCCCCGGGGGGUCCCUGCGCCUCCUCUGCCGAGGGUCCGGCUUCAAUUUUGGCAGUUUCACCCUGUAUUGGAUCCGCCAGAGACCCGGGCAGGGGCUGGAAUUCGUCUCAACGAUCAGCAGAAGGAGCGGCAAAACAUUCUACGCGCCGUCGGUGCAAGGGCGGUUCACGAUGACGAGCGACAACGGGCAGAGCUCGGUGACGCUGACCAUGAACAGCCUCAAGGACGAGGAUUCCGGAUCCUAUUUCUGCGCCAAAUGUGUUGAUUCUGGUUGUGGUACCAGUGCUG